CUGAUCUAAAAUGACAUUUUACUUAUUAAUUAUUAUUGAUUGUGAGCACAGUUCAUGUGUGUCGACAUAUAAGUCCGUUUAGUUGAUUUUCAUGUCUAUGCUUUAUGUUAGGCUAACAUCAAUUUCAUGCUUCAAGAGGCAUUGUUCUAAUUCACGGUUACGUGACCUUUAUGAGGCAUGCGUCUCAAAGCAUUCCACAUAAUUGUCUCAAAUUCCUAAAUAUUUCAAGGGAUCUUCAGAUGAGUUCAUUGAUGCCAACAUUCAACUCGCAUUGGCUGUUGUGAAAAAGCUCCAGGAGAAACAGGAGACCCGAGCUUGCUUAGUCUUCCCUGAUAAGCCAGAAAAGCGCAGAGCCUCCGAGUUGUUCAAAUCAGCUCUAGAUUCGAUUGAUGGCAUUACCAUUGGUUCCUUAGAU